AAUAUUUGACAAUGGUGGCAACCUUGAUCCAGCCAUGCCGCGUGUUUGAAGAAGGUCUUCGGAUUGUAAAGCACUUUAAGUUGGGAGGAAGGGCUUUAGGCUAAUUCAUUGAUGUUUUGACGUUACCAACAGAAUAAGCACCGGCUACCUCUGUGUCAGCAGCCGCGGUAAUACAGAGGGUGCAAGCGUUAAUCGGAAUUACUUGUCGUACAGCGCGCGGAGGUGGUUCAGUAAGAUGGGUGUGAAAUCCCCGGGCUUAACCUGGGAACUGCUUUCAUAACUGCUGAGCUAGAGUACGGUAGAGGGUAGUGGAAUUUCCUGUGUAGCGGUGAAAUGCGUAGAUAUAGGAAGGAACACCAGUGGCGAAGGCGACUACCUGGACUGAUACUGACACUGAGGUGCGAAGGCGUGGGGAGCAAAC
rnacentral:rRNA from 1 species